ACUAGUACAUAUGCAAACCUCAUAAUUAUUCAAUCGUUUACCCAUAGUAUCAUUAAUUGGUCAUUUUACUAAAGUUUAAUUAAUUACCAACUUUAACCAAGUGCCCAUACUCCAUACUAUUACCAUCUUUUAGAAAUCAUAGCAUCAAUAUACACUAACCAUAAUUUACUAGUUAGUCAUCACUCAUUAACUAGUCCAAU
rnacentral:lncRNA from 1 species